GAUGAACGCUGGCGGCGUGCCUAAUACAUGCAAGUCGAGCGAACGGACGAGAAGCUUGCUUCUCUGAUGUUAGCGGCGGACGGGUGAGUAACACGUGGAUAACCUACCUAUAAGACUGGGAUAACUUCGGGAAACCGCAGCUAAUACCGGAUAAUAUUUUGAACCGCAUGGUUCAAAAGUGAAAGACGGUCUUGCUGUCACUUAUAGAUGGAUCCGCGCUGCAUUAGCUAGUUGGUAAGGUAACGGCUUACCAAGGAAACGAUGCAUAGCCGACCUGAGAGGGUGAUCGGCCACACUGGAACUGAGACACGGUCCAGACUCCUACGGGAGGCAGCAGUAGGGAAUCUUCCGCAAUGGGCGAAAGCCUGACGGAGCAACGCCGCGUGAGUGAUGAAGGUCUUCGGAUCGUAAAACUCUGUUAUUAGGGAAGAACAUAUGUGUAAGUAACUGUGCACAUCUUGACGGUACCUAAUCAGAAAGCCACGGCUAACUACGUG
rnacentral:rRNA from 1 species